rnacentral:tRNA from 1 species
GCGGGAAUAGCUCAGUUGGCAGAGCAUUAGUUUCCCAAACUAAAGGUUCGCGGGUCCGAGUCCCGUUUCCCGCU